CCCAUGCCAGAGAAAGCAGGGAUCUCUCCUCUAAACCCCGUAAUUUAUGAGUUUAUUCAAACUCACCAAAUUGCUUUAAGUAAACGCCUCUUAUAUUUGAAAAUUCCCAUGGCAACUCAUUUAGUUUGGCAGGAAGGCAGACCCAAAUUCAAUCCUUUUAUCCUCCUGCUAAAGCAUUACAAUGGUAAUUCUGCUCUGACACUCUGAAGAGACUGCUAAUUACUGUACGCGGUCCCCAGACAGAUCCCCCGUUCAGAUUGAAAUGGCUGUGCUCGGCAGAGAGCAGCAGCAGCACCUUUGUGCACGGGAAGGGAUGCGCUCUCGCAUCACGGCUUUUUACAAGACAGGCUCGGAGACAAAGCAUCUCCUAUCCACUAAGCCUUGCAGAACAAACACCGAGGAAGGCAAAAAACCAGCGGAAUGACAGCGAAGGAGACAACCACUAACUUCACCGUGUCGACUACUGAAGAACUUGCAUCUACAAAAAGAAAAGGACAUGAGAACCACGCACCCCUAAGAUGCUGCACUUCAGGUAUCAAGAGAAAAGAAGAGCUUUGCACUGCGCUAAGUACUUCUCGUAGGAAGCAGAACUGAGACUUAAAUCAUCAUCAGAUCUAUUUAUACUUCUGAAUCAACGAAUACUGACACAAAUGGAGGCACAGACACAUGCACCAACCUCCCUUUUCCAAGAAACUACAUGGAAAAACUCUCUAACCCCACUUUCUGGAUGGUGCCUUUUUUGGUCUCUCAGAAAUCUGGGUUAUGUGGCAGACAGGACAGAUACUGUGAGAACUGCCAUAAAUGCAACACAUGUACAUGCUUUUGAGAAAAAGAAACUUUAAUCACCAGAAACACAAAAAGAAUCCUGACAAAGUUAAGGGAGUAUAGACAUAACCCUAAGGUCAAAGCCAGAAAAAGAACUGGUCUAAUUAGUCCAAAAUCUAAAGGAUGCCACAACAGUAAAGUGAGAAGGUAACUGUAUAGAGAGGCACUUAUAAGAUAAUUUGGAGAAAAAAUUCCCCCAGAAUCCACACUAAACCCUUACUUUUAUGCUUUUAACUGUAAUAUUUACUUGUCUGGAUUGGUAACAUUUGCUAUUAAUGCUAAUCUUUUAGAGCAAUAUGGAGACAUUUCAUUUCUAGAAAUACAACUAUCAAACUAUUUUUUUUCUGGAAUUAUUUUUUUUAAUCAUAAGUAACAGGCUGAUAUUUUGAAGAAAAAACUUAAUUUUUCUACUCUUUACAUAAGCUUGCCUAGAAAUACAAGCUAUUUGGAGAAGCCAAAAUGUCACAAGUUUACUUUCUUACGCCAAUUAAGGUUUCUUGCUAAUAAACUGUUUUAAUUAAACAGGAUUCUAUUUGGACAUUUCUGUGAAUUAAAUGAAAAUAAAAAGCAAAGCUUGUUAAAAAAAACCCCGAAAUAUUUGAUAUGAAAACACCAAAAGAAUUUAUUUGCAUUUCCCCCUCAUGAUUCUACUAGACACACUUCCAUCAGAGUUUGCUGAACCUAGAAAGGGAAGCCAUGCCUUAAAUUACAUGUGCUUUACAUUAAAUAAUGUGGAAUCAUAUAUUCUUCCUGAAUUCCCCUGAACUUUAAUAUUCGGCUGAAAGACUAUGUGUGAUUCACAUUUGAAGUAAAUUGACUAAACUGAAAUAAAUAAAACCAACACCAAAGUAUGCUGGGGAUUAUGUCGCAAUUACAUCAUCAUGGAUGUCGUCUUAGCAAAGAUUUCUAAAGCUUCCAAGCCAAUUAGAGUAAAAAUCAAUUUGCAGAUUUCAAACAUAAACCACGAAUGCACACAAUUGUGCAUCUUUCAAGUUCUUAGAAGUAACUUAGAGUAAGAUUUUUAGAAGAGUCUGUACACUUCAGAUGUACAAAAUAGUAUGAAUCUUAAUGGGAUCUUGUUACUGAAGCCACAUAGGAUCUUUUAAAAAAAUCCUACAGACAGUAGUGGGAAAAAAGUAUUAUUAAAAACUACUAACAUCUCUAUGUUGAAAUUGUACAAACAGAUUGCUUUUAAAUGCUGUAAAACACAUCAAAUAUAAAGCAUGACAUAAUAAGAAUAAAUUGUGCUAUUUGUCA